rnacentral:rRNA from 1 species
CCUACGGGUGGCAGCAGUGAGGAAUAUUGGUCAAUGGACGCAAGUCUGAACCAGCCAUGCCGCGUGCAGGAAGACGGCUCUAUGAGUUGUAAACUGUUUUUGUACGAGGGUAAACGCAGACACGCGUAUCUGUCUGAAAGUAUCGUACGAAUAAGGAUCGGCUAACUCAGUGCCAGCAGCCGCGGUAAUACGGAGGAUUCAAGCGUUAUCCGGAUUUAUUGGGUUUAAAGGGUGCGUAGGCGGUCAGAGAAGUUAGAGGUGAAAUCCCGAGGCUCAACCUCGGAAUUGCCUCUGAUACUGUACGGCUGGAGAGUAGAUGCGGUAGGCGGAAUGUAUGGUGUAGCGGUGAAAUGCUUAGAGAUCAUGCAGAACACCGAUUGCGAAGGCAGCUUACCAAGCUACUACUGACGUUGAGGCACGAAAGCGUGUGGAGCAAACAGGAUUAGAUACCCGAGUAGUC